rnacentral:rRNA from 1 species
AACGCGAAGAACCUUACCUACCUUUGACAUGUACGGAACUUGCCUGAGAUGGCUUGGUGCUCGAAAGAGAGCCGUAACACAGGUGCUGCAUGGCUGUCGUCAGCUCGUGUCGUGAGAUGUUGGGUUAAGUCCCGCAACGAGCGCAACCCUUGUCAUUAGUUGCUACGAAAGGGCACUCUAAUGAGACUGCCGGUGACAAACCGGAGGAAGGUGGGGAUGACGUCAAGUCCUCAUGGCCCUUAUGGGUAGGGCUACACACGUCAUACAAUGGCUGGUACAGAGGGUUGCCAACCCGCGAGGGGGAGCCAAUCCCAUAAAACCAGUCGUAGUCCGGAUCGCAGUCUGCAACUCGACUGCGUGAAGUCGGAAUCGCUAGUAAUCGCGGAUCAGAAUGUCGCGGUGAAUACGUUCCCGGGUCUUGUACACACCG